CGGACAAUGUGCUCAGAGAAGAUAACUGAAUCGACUUAGCUCAGCGUUUUGCGAAAGUAUGUUCUAUAUUUUUAGGGUCCAAAACGUUGAAGUACCUCAGGGUAAACAUAAGUUAACUUUACUCACUUGGUUUGCUGGCUGAAUUCAAGAUGUCAGUGUAACAGCGAUGACCUUGAUUAGAAAGAUUUGUUUGCACCUAACAAGGAAGAUGCCAACUGGAACAUGAAGUAGACCAGCCUCAGCAGUCAGGAUGUGGCCGUCAUCUUCAAAGAGUUGUUGUUUUACUUAAUUGCAAUCCAGCCUUUGGGUGAACCAGAAUGCUCCCGCCACAAACUCAUCUGUGACUGGAAUAUUGUGUGACGAGUCAACGAACAGCUGCGUGACAAGCCAACGAACAGCCGCGUGACCGCUAAUGAAAGUAAGAUCUGUAAUUAUCCUAUAAAAUAUAAGAGUAACUUAACUAUUUAUCUAUCUAUAUUAGUCCUUUGAUUUAAGUUUUUUCCAAAAUAAAACUAAGAUAAUUUUUAGUUGGAGAAGGAUGAUGAAAAUCCUUUAAGUAUUAGUUAUCCUUAUUUAGGAAAAAAAUGCUACUUUAUCCAAAAAAAAACAAAGGAAAUUUGCCUAUUCAUGACUAAGCCUAUUGUAUAUAAUCCUGUUUUAAUAUUCUACAAAAAUAAUUAUGCUAAUCCUAAAAUUAAAGUAUCUAUAGUAUGAUGUUUUCAUGGUGGAUAAAUUCUACUUGAGUAGAAAAAAAGAGAAAUUUUCCUGAAAUUACUAUAAAGAUAAGUUUCAUCCAAUUCAGGAGGAGGAAAAUCCUAGAGUAAUAGAUUUAUUUUUAGAUUGAAAGAAAAUGCUACUUAGGGUUAGUCCCUAUCAAUAACUAGACCUAGUUUUUACAUUUUUUAUAGCUGCAUAUCUAUAGCAUUAUGGUUAUCCUAAACCUAUGGUAUCUACAGUCAUGUUUUUUGCUUCUGUAAGAAAAAGAACCCCUAGUAAAUUUUGUUUAUUUAUAAUUGGCCUAUGGUUAUUAUUUUGUUUUAUAUUUAAGUUAUAUUUAAAUGAAAAACUAAAGAAGAGAGAUUCUGGAUUCAGUAUCAACCCAUCAGAGAGACCCCCAGUAACUAUUAGCUCAAUUUGAUGUUAUUUGUGUGAGUCCAGUCAAGCCAGACCAGAGAAAUCCAGCAAAAAUCCGCACUCCCAAUGUAAAUACACCUAAAUUGACCCUACAAUUCAGCGCAACUGUUUUAAUGAUCCUUAGUUGUGAAACAUUUCAAGAGAUACAUUGAAUGCAAAAAAGCACCUUCUGAGGCCAAAACUUGUCAAAUUGAUGCAGCAGUUCUG